AUUGAACGCUGGCGGCAGGCCUAACACAUGCAAGUCGAGCGAGCGGCGGACGGGUGUGUAAUGUCUGGGAACCUGCCUGAUGGAGGGGGAUAACUACUGGACACGGUAGCUAAUACCGCAUACCAUCAGAUGUGCCCAGAUGGGAUUAGCUAGUGGGUGGGGUAACGGCUCACCUAGGCGACGAUCCCUAGCUGGUCUGAGAGGAUGACCAGCCACACUGGAACUGAGGCACGGUCCAGACUCCUACGGGAGGCGGCGGAGGGGAAUAUUGCACAAGGGGCGCAAGCCGGAUGCAGCCAGGCCGCGUGGAGGAAGAAGGCCUUCGGGUUGUAAAGUACUUUCAGCGGGGAGGCGUUACCCGCAGAAGAAGCACCGGCUAACUCCGUGCCAGCAGCCGCGGUAAUUC
rnacentral:rRNA from 1 species